GUUGAAUCAGCCACGGAAAACUUGUGCUUUCCGUGCCGUCAGACCAAGAGAAUAGAUGAGGAACGACAAAUUCCUGGAAGGGUAGCAGGACCCCUACCUACCCUCUCUCACUGGACUCGCGAGGGGUGGUCUUCAUGUCUUCAGGAAAGCUGAGUGUAAUCAAAGCUUUCCGGCUCCGCCGAUCUCAAUCAAAGUAUCUUUGAUGACGCACCAAUUCCACAACCUUUGAUUCUCAAUCCACAGAAGAUGUGGUGUUUGUGUGACUGUUGACACAUGAAUAUGUCAUUGACCAAGGAUCCUGUGAUCAAAGCUAUGCCUGAGUGACACUCCCAGGAAUGAGUCAAUACAAGAUGUGGAUCUCUCCAGCAAAUAAAA